CGGAAGCCCUGCGGGCUGAUUGCACAUGCUUUCUGGCUUCAAGAGAGCACCAUCUCCUCAUCAUUGGCUUUGUUGUCUUUAGGCAUUAGCAUGUGUGUGGAGCGUUCCGCAGUCCUCUUCUAAUCGAGUGAAUGGACCUCACAGAGCUCAUAUGUGAGUGCUGAGGAUGGCUGUGUGGGUGGGACUGUGUAAGAGACCAGAUACAGGCAACGCUAGAUAAUGCUCUACACCCCGUACGCAGCAGAUGGGAAAGAUCCAGGGUGGCACGACGCCCGUUUCCACAGGGUCAUUCCAACCAUUAGACCACCAACGUCAGGUGACUGCUGAUGGGAAACCUCCACCAAGUGUUCAAGAAACGCGGGAAUGAGCCAAGAUGCUGCAGAGUGUGCCAGCUCGCCGGAAUUGGCAGCAGAGGUUCUUUUUGUGUAGGUGACCCUGUCACUUUAAGAGUGUCGCAGCAGCAGGUUGCGCGAGAUCGCAGGAGGUCACUGGAGGUCGCAAAGUUCCGUGCGGGGUUAGUUACACGGAGGUGGAGCAGCGGCGGGAAUGAACGCAGGACUACUGCAUUACGAAUGAGCUGUGCGAUAGCUCCGACCCGCUGUGGACGAAACCGAACAGUGGGCUCAGCGUGAGUGACAA
rnacentral:lncRNA from 1 species